AGGACUAACGCUGGCGGCGUGCCUAACACAUGCAAGUCGAACGAAGUAGCAAUACUUAGUGGCAGACGGGUGAGUAACACGUAGUCAACCUGCCCUUCAAUGGGGGAUAACUAGCCGAAAGGUUAGCUAAUACCGCAUACGAUCUCUGAGUGGCAUCACUCGGCGAUGAAAGGAGUAAUCCGUUGAAGGAGGGGACUGCGUCCCAUUAGUUAGUUGGUGGGGUAAUGGCCUACCAAGACUCCGAUGGGUAGCUGGCUUGAGAGAGCGACCAGCCACACUGGAACUGAGACACGGUCCAGACUCCUACGGGAGGCAGCAGUGAGGAAUUUUCCGCAAUGGGGGAAACCCUGACGGAGCGACGCCGCGUGUGGGAAGAAGGCCUUCGGGUCGUAAACCACUGUCGAGGGGGACGAUAUUGACGGUACCCCUGGAGGAAGCCCCGGCUAACUACGUGCCAGCAGCCGC
rnacentral:rRNA from 1 species